rnacentral:tRNA from 1 species
GCGAGAUUGGUACAGUGGUAGCACAUCUGCUUCCCAAGCAGAAGACGCCGGUUCGAUCCCGGUAUCUCGCUCCA